GAUUUUAAUCAAGAUUGCAGUUUACUAAUAAAUUAGUUAUUCACUGAGUUAAUGAAGUUUCCUAAAGUUGAUACAGGAUUCUAAAAUUGUAAUUGCUGAUUAUCAAAUUUCAUAUAUCAAUUUUAAAAAAAUAACUUAUAAAACAAUUAUAAAAAGUUUAAUUGCAAUCCCUUAGAUGGAGCUGGUAAUCACGCUAUUUCAUUUAUUGCAAUGGGCGCCAUCUCGUAAUUUUCAGUGAUACUUUAAAGCUAUUUUACUCUUACUCUAAAGUUUGUUUCUUUUAUUAUUAUUUUGGCUAAUUUUCUGGUUGCUCGAGUCUCGAGAUGUUUAACAUAAUUGUCCUGAAUAAUUCACCAGGAAUGGCUCUUCAAUGGCACCAAUUUAACUAACCAGGAAAUAUCCGUGGGCCUGGAUCCCUUUCAACAGUAAACAAAGUAAUUUUUGGCUUUUUAUCUUCACUUUAGAUAAUCUCACCUUAGGGCUACUCAAAGGAUCUAAAGGUUAAAAGGCCAUUUACUGUGACCUUUGAUCACAGUGUAAAUUUAAUGCUAAUUUUUAUGUUUUCUUGUGGAACCAAAUUUAUCAAGACUAUCAAUCAUCUAUUGACUAUCGCUGUUCUCAAUUGUAAACACUCAUGAUUGCUGUGGAUUUACCUUACAAAUUCCAAGUUACAUGAAAUAUCCCCAAGACUGUUGGCAGCAUUUUCAACUCUCAUUACAAAUUAUACAAGCAAUGAAGUGGAUCUUGAUCAAAAUGGACUGAGAUUAUUGUUACAAGUUAAUUUAAUUGGUGACUUUAUAAUUGGUCUAGACAAUGCUUAGAAGCAAACCUUUGUCACUAUUAAACCAGUUCAGUUAUUUAAGGAUUCUGGUUCUUCCAUGUCCUAAGGCCAAGGCAAAGAAUCAAAACUAAAUUUAAAAGGGAUUCAAAUUAUAUCUGUUUAAUUAUUGUAACUUGAUAGCAUCAGUAACAAUGCUAAUUUAUCUCCUGGAGAUAAUCAAUUGAGUCAAUGAACCAAGGUAUAACCAUUGGUAUAGUCAGGGUCUCAAUCAUUAUUGAAAAAUUCAACAUUAACUUGAUGAAACCAUUUAAAUGUCAUAUUUAUGCAGGAAAAAAUGGGUAAAAACAUGAGAAUUAACAUCUUAAUCUUGUGUUUUUGGUUUAGGUAAGGUCAAUUGAAUGUUUAUUGUUUCAAAGUUAAUCCAUUUUAUACUGUAAUACAAAAAAGUGUAAAAUGGUUCUCUUUAGGUAAUCCUUUUAAUAACACAGUGACUGACGUGAUUAACUUUAAAUUACAUCUUGAUUGCUUUUUGAAAAAGGUUUCAACAAAGGUUUAAAUUUAGAGAAGCCAAGUUUAAGAUUAACGAUUAACUCUGAAAUUGACCUUCUUUUACCUUCUGUAUUACAGCUUAAUCACUGACCUUACCUUUUAUUUUCAUCACAAUAAGUCACACAAAUAUGGACUUAAAACCAUCACUUAACCCAUUCAAAUUUAAGCUUAAAAAAGACUGACAAGGAAAUAUUAAUAUCAAUAACAAAAAAAGCUAAUCACUUCUAAAUGUGAUCAACAAUCAACUUUAGAUCACUUCUAGACCAUCUCAUUGUAAUGCCAAAUCACAUUUAAGGUAAACCUUUCUGGUUAACCUUUUUUCCUACUAAACACCAACCUUGCCAUAUUCAAUUUACAUACACAAAUUAAUUGUGAAGUAGGUUGAAAUGAUGAUUAGUGAUAAUGGUGAUGAUUGUUUGUUAAUGUAAUCAAGCAACAGCUUAUCUUUGGUAUUGGCAUAACAGACUGUUUGAUGAAUCUUGACUUCAUCAACACAUAAUCAAGUUGA